rnacentral:rRNA from 1 species
GAUGAACGCUGGCGGCGUGCCUAACACAUGCAAGUCGAGCGAACAGACGAGUAGUUUGCUCCUCUGACGUUAGCGGCGGACGGGUGAGUAACACGUGGACAACCUCUCUAUAAGACUGUGAUAACUCCGGGACACCGGUGCUAAUACCUGCUAAUAUCUUGAACCGCAUGGUUCAAUAGUGAACGACGGUUUUGCUGUUACUUAUUGAUGGAUUCGCUCCGGAUUAGCUAGUUAGUAAGGUAACGGCUUACCAAGGCAACGAUGCGUAGCCGACCUGAGAGGGUGAUCGGCCACACUGGAACUGAGACACGGUCCAGACUCCUACGGGAGGCAGCAGUAGGGAAUUUUGCGCAAUGGGCGAAAGCUUGACGGAGCAACGCCGCGUGUGUGAUGAAGGUCUUCGGAUCGUAAAGCACUGUUAUUAGGGAAGAACACAUGUGUAAGUAAAUAUGCACGGCUUGACGGUACCGGAAGAAAAAGCCACGGCUAACUACGUG